UACGGAGGGGGCUAGCGUUGCUCGGAAUCACUGGGCGUAAAGCGCACGUAGGCGGGUCUUUAAGUCAGGGGUGAAAUCCCGGAGCUCAACUCCGGAACUGCCUUUGAUACUGAGGAUCUCGAGUCCGGGAGAGGUGAGUGGAACUGCGAGUGUAGAGGUGAAAUUCGUAGAUAUUCGCAAGAACACCAGUGGCGAAGGCGGCUCACUGGCCCGGUACUGACGCUGAGGUGCGAAAGCGUGGGGAGCAAACAGG
rnacentral:rRNA from 1 species